rnacentral:rRNA from 2 species
AUUACGCUGGCGGCGUGCAUAACACACGCAAGUCGAACGAUGAAACUUAAAUGAUUUCUUCGGAAUGAACUUAAGUGGAUUAGUGGCGGACGGGUGAGUAACGCGAGAGUAACCUGCCUUACACAAGGGGAUAGCCGUUGGAAACGACGAAUAAUACCCUAUGAAACUAUCACUUCGCAUGAAGCGAUAGUCAAAGUGUUAGCGGUGUAAGAUGGACUUGCGUCUGAUUAGCUAGUUGGUGAGAAAAAAGCCCACCAAGGCAACGAUCAGUAGCCGGCUUGAGAGAGUGUACGGCCACAUUGGGACUGAGACACGGCCCAGACUCCUACGGGAGGCAGCAGUGGGGAAUUUUGCACAAUGGGGGAAACCCUGAUGCAGCGACGCCGCGUGAUUUAGAAGGCCUUCGGGUUGUAAAAAUCUUUUGUAUAGGAAGAAAAUGACAGUACUAUACGAAUAAGGUCCGGCUAAUUACGUGCCAGCAGCCGCGGUAAUACGUAAGGACCGAGCGUUGUCCGGAAUCAUUGGGCGUAAAGGGUACGUAGGCGGGUCAUUAAGUUAGAAGUCAAAGGCUAUAGCUCAACUAUAGUAAGCUUCUAAAACUGGAGACCUUGAGUAAUGGAAGGGAAAGUGGAAUUCCUAGUGUAGCGGUGGAAUGCGCAGAUAUUAGGAGGAAUACCGGUGGCGAAGGCGACUUUCUGGCCAUUAACUGACGCUGGGGUACGAAAGCGUGG